rnacentral:rRNA from 1 species
UAUUGGGCAUGUGCUCNCACCAUAUUAUUUAUCUAUCUCUUGUGCACCUUUUGUAGUCUUUGAAGUGUUCGCAGUCAAUGCGGUUUGGGGCUUGGGCUUUUGAAGUCCUUUCCCUGUUUGCUUCAAAGGCUAUGUUUUAUACACACUAUUUGAAGUUACAGAAUGUCUCUUAUUGACCUUAGAGUCAGUAAAUCAAUACAACUUUCAGCAACGGAUCUCUUGGCUCUCCCAUCGAUGAAGAACGCAGCGAAAUGCGAUAAGUAAUGUGAAUUGCAGAAUUCAGUGAAUCAUCGAAUCUUUGAACGCACCUUGCGCCCUUUGGUAUUCCGAAGGGCAUGCCUGUUUGAGUGUCAUUAAAUUCUCAACCUUGCAAGCUUUUUUGCUAGUGAGGCUUGGAUGUGAGGGCUUUUGCUGGCUUCCAUUCAGUUGGAUGGUCUGCUCCCUUUAAAUUCAUUAGUGGAUUCCUUUGUGGAUGGUCACUUGGUGUGAUAAUUAUCUACGCCGCCUGACUCUGAUACAAGACUUGUGGGGACCUGCUUAUAACCGUCUCUUUCAAGAGACAAUCUAUAUUGACAAUUUGACCUCCAAUCANGUAGGACUACCCGCUGAACUUAAGCAUAUCAAUA